CCAUCCGUAAACGGUGCACACUUGACGUGGCGGGAUUUCACCCCCGCCGUGUCGGAGCUAACGCAUUAAGUGUGCCGCCUGGGGAGUACGGCCGCAAGGCUAAAACUCAAAGAAAUUGACGGGGGCCCGCACAAGCGGAGGAGCAUGUGGCUUAAUUCGAUGCAACGCGAAGAACCUUACCCGGGUUUGACAUUUACCUGCACGGCCUAUGAAAGUAGGCUUCCUUCGAGGGUGGUAAACAGGUGC
rnacentral:rRNA from 1 species